UCAUAACCAAAACACUUAUUUCACUUCCUAAAACUAUUCAGAAUAUGACCGAGAGUGAAGGUAAAACUUGAUAAAUAAACAACCCUUUUUUUUUUUUUUUAUGUUAGAGAGGGUGAGGUUAUGCAGACGCUACUCUCUCUCUUCUAAGGCUUAAUUCUUAUAUCCUUUUUUGGAUCUGCAUUUUCUCUUAAAAUCACUGUUUUAGUUUAGAGUCAGGAUGAUGAUGAGUACAGAGCUUUUGGAAAUUCUGCCUCGUGAACUCAAGAUUACUUGUGUCGAAUUUUAACUUUGCGCAGUUAUGCUGGCAAAGUUGUUUGGUAAAUAUAAAAAUCUGUUGUAAUUUGCACUGUGAUGGACUCUCUUUUUAUCUCUGUAGUUGAGGUGAAGAGAGAAAGCUCAUGCUCAAUUCAGCUGGGCAAUAAGUCUGAUCAGUAUGUUGCUUUCAAGGUGAGGUUCUUUUAUGGCUUCAUUUCUGUUGCACUCUUCUCUUUUUAACAGCUCCAUUUUAUUUUAUUUUACAUUUUUUUAAUGUAAUUAUACUCUUCUAUGAUCAUGGGAGUGCUGGUUUAUCUGCAAUGAAAUUGCAGUGCAGAUGCUAAUGUUUAUUGAAAUGAGGUCAAAGUAAAGAAGUUUGGUUUCGGAAAAUGAUACAAGUAUGCCUAAAUAAUUCAAAACUUUUUUUGCUGGUGAGGACUACACAUCCCCGAAAAAGUAUUGCGUGCGGCCUAUCACGGGUGUUAUUAAACCAAAGUCAACUUGUGAUUUCACAGGUUUUUCCCAUCUUCCUAUGCUCUGCUUAUAUUCAAAAGAAAAUGUCUCAAACAUGUGUUUGUGACAAGUUUUGAAAAAAAAGUAAAAAAUGAUGAUGCAUGUGGCCUAUUGUAUACCUAAUGUUUCAAAUGAAACAAUGAUCCACGUGCAAUUUAAUCAUGGAAAUAAUAAAGGCUGUUAUUCUGGAUCAUAAAAAGGCUGCUUGGUAAAGUCUAAGAUGGACUAGCAUGACAAGAAGAAUUUUUUGAUCAAUCAAAAUUUUAAACCAGGUCUGGACAAAUAAAUGGAAGUACUGAGUUUCUGCCUGUCUUAUUCUAUCAGAAUCUGCAAUGGAUGGUUUUUUUCUUAACUUUCUGGUCAUUUCGGUUACUAUGCAAGCUCAUAAGUUCUUGGUUCAAAGUACAGUUGUCCCCCCUGGGACAACUGAAGAGGACAUUACAUCUAACAUGGUAAGAUUUAGUUUCAUUUCUGUUUCUACUGUAAGAAGUUGCAGCUCUGUUUUGUUUUAAAUUUUCUCUUUAGUUUCUUUUUUCUAGUUUGGCAGUUUUCUAAGGAGGGUGGGAAAUACAUUGAAGAGAAGAAGCUAAAAGUUAGCUGAAGAUGUUCCAGUCUUCGAAACUGCCAUGGAUGCUAAUGAGUUAGGAGGAGCCAAGGAUGCUGAUGGUUCAAGACCUGCUGAUAUGGGGGAAUUGAAAUCUUCUAAGGAUACAGCUGAACCAAAGUUGACGAAGGAUUUUGAGGAGUUGAAGUCAAAGCUACAUGCAAUGGACUUAAAGCUAAGAGAGGUCUUUUCUCGUCUAGUAUCAGUUUAUUGGCGCCAAAACCUUAAACUCGGGCUCAAUACUACCAUUUAUCACAAAAUAAUAUUUUGGAAAAGAGCAAUUGAAUUCCUUGAGUCAUGUUUGAUCUUUGAACGUGGAAUAGCUGAUCAUACCAUUUGAAGCUCAAUGAUGAGAGGAGGAUGGCCACUAAAGAGAAGGAUAAGCUCAAGCAUGAAGCAUUAAGCAAAUGUUAUCGUUCCCCUGGCACCAUGUACUGUACGCGACCUGACCAUUUCUUCGUUGGAGGAUCUUGAGUUCCUCUGCUGUCUUUUAAUUUUAAAUCGCCUCCUCACAAUGUUGCCACCUGACUUACAAGGCCAUGCAAGAAUUUGGACAGAGCCAAGCCUCUCCAGCUCAGAACUCCAGCCCCUUGUUAUAUAAUCAUUUCAUUUCUGAACAUGCCCAGUAUCAAAGCAAUUUUCAUAUCAUUGCUUCUAAGCUACAGUACUGUCUGUGCAUGCCUAUUGAUAACACAUGAUCGGGGUGAUUCUUAACUUUAACAUUAGACUCUGAUCAAGUUAUUGUUAUUGCCUUGUCGGUAUUUGUUAAGGAAUAACAACAAGAGAAGAGCUCAAGUGGGUUUCCCCCUCGUAUAUGUAUGUUUGGUUGCUUUGAUCAGUCGAUACCUUAUUCAUCCAUAGGAGAAACCUCAGAGGCGUUCCAUUUCUUCGAAUGGUUGGGGGAUUGCCCUUGAUGAUCACAUAUAGGUGGGUUUGACUGCCACACAGGUGUUUUAUAGCGUGUGAUUUAUGAUAUAGAAAGAGUCUUGAAUUU